CGCAGAUACCAGCUGGCUGCAACUGUUUAUUAAAAACACAGCACUGUGCAAACACGAAAGUGGACGUAUACGGUGUGACGCCUGCCCGGUGCUGGAAGGUUAAUUGAUGGGGUUAUCCGUAAGGAGAAGCUCUUGAUCGAAGCCCCAGUAAACGGCGGCCGUAACUAUAACGGUCCUAAGGUAGCGAAAUUCCUUGUCGGGUAAGUUCCGACCUGCACGAAUGGCGUAAUGAUGGCCAGGCUGUCUCCACCCGAGACUCAGUGAAAUUGAACUCGCUGUGAAGAUGCAGUGUACCCGCGGCAAGACGGAAAGACCCCGUGAACCUUUACUAUAGCUUGACACUGAACAUUGAGCCUUGAUGUGUAGGAUAGGUGGGAGGCUUUGAAGUGUGGACGCCAGUCUGCAUGGAGCCAACCUUGAAAUACCACCCUUUAAUGUUUGAUGUUCUAACGUGGCCCCAUCAUC
rnacentral:rRNA from 1 species